UACGUAGGGUGCAAGCGUUGUCCGGAUUUACUGGGCGUAAAGGGCGCGUAGGCGGCCAGCGCAAGUCAGUUGUGAAAUCUCCGAGCUUAACUCGGAAAGGUCAACUGAUACUGCGCGGCUAGAGUGCAGAAGGGGCAACUGGAAUUCUCGGUGUAGCGGUGAAAUGCGUAGAUAUCGAGAGGAACACCUGCGGCGAAGGCGGGUUGCUGGGCUGACACUGACGCUGAGGCGCGAAAGCUAGGGGAGCGAACGGG
rnacentral:rRNA from 1 species